CGAGUCCGAAUUGACGUUUAUGAGAUCUGAUCGGAUUGGAUUCGUCUCGUUCGAAUCGGAACCGAUCCGUUUGCAUUGUCACGCUGAGUGAAUGCUGAACCUAAGCGAGGCAGAAACCAUCCGCACCAGGGAUAUACAAUCCUUGCUCUUCUUUGGUUUCUCAGGAAUUGGCUGAGUGGAACUCAAUGGCAUCAUCAACUAUGACCUAACUUUAUCUCCCUAGCUCUCCUCAUCAAUGGAAGGCUCUAUGCAGUGGCUGAAUCUUGGGUCUGGGAAGCAGGGCCCAUAUGUAGCUUUUAUCAGCUGUUGUGUACUUUCCAUGUUCGGGAGAAGCUGUAGUCUGUGGACUGAUCUGCAGCUCACCAGGAUUGACUCAACUUCUGUCUUUCCCUCAACUGCGGGUUUAAAUAUAUUAGGAAUUCCAUAAGGAAAAUGCAAUAACAGCUUUUGAUUGAACUGGAAGUGACUAGGAUUGACUUGUUUUUUUUUUCAUUUUUUUAAGGUAGCAAUUUCAUUACAGAGCAAAUGGAUGUAGAAGAGAGGAUUAACACCACAAAAAGAUCAAUUACAGCAGUAAUUUUUUUUUUUUUUUGAGA